rnacentral:lncRNA from 1 species
CUAGGCCUCCGUCGAAGCAGGAGAAGCUCUUGCAGGAGUACUUGGUCCACAGCACGGCGGAGUCAGGGAGGGGAGAGAACGGAUCGGCGGGAAGAGAGGAGGGGAGCUUGGAGGGAGUUCGGGCAAAGCAACGGCGGCGGGGGAGGGGGUGGCAGCCGCGGAGGAUGAGAGAUUCGGCGAGUUGGGAAUCAUCAGGGCAAAGAGAAAAGGGAGUGUAGGUCAUGUAGGUGUGCAGGAGGUCGGGAUGGUCGCGGCAGGAGGAGGCCAUGGGGGAGAGGUGGGUGUAGAGGAGGAGAUCAGAGGGAGUGGCGGAGGAGGCGGAGGAGGAGGAGGUGGAGCGGAGGCGAGUAAGGUGGGUGAGGGUGGCGCGUAUGGUGUUGAGCUGGUGGCGGAGGUGGUCGGGAACAGGUGCGGGAGGCGGCGUAGGCUUGGAUUGAAUAGUAGAAGACAGGUGGUAAAGGGAGAGGAUGUUUGUGGCCACCAUGGCCACUAGAAGCAGCAGGUUCAGUCCCAUGGUCAAACCCAUUUCUCUCCUUCCCUC